GGCAGGUAGGUGGUCUGUUAAGUCUUCUGUGAAAAUCCGGGGCUCAACCCCGCGAAAUGCAGGUGAAACUGGCAGACUGGAGACCGGUAGAGGCUAGCGGAAUUCCUGGUGUAGCGGUGGAAUGCGUAGAUAUCAGGAAGAACACCUGUGGCGAAGGCGGCUAGCUGGGCCGGUUCUGACACUAAACUGCGAAAGCGUGGGGAGCAAACA
rnacentral:rRNA from 1 species